UCACUGAGUGUCAGCGCCCCCCACAC
rnacentral:piRNA from 1 species